rnacentral:lncRNA from 7 species
GAUGACAGUCAGUUGCUGAUGGAGUUGCUGGAGAGAAAGAGUUCUUCAGUUCAGGAUCUCCCUGGAGCUGCUCCUUACUCUCUCCAUCUUACUGUGUGCUAUGAAGGCCUGAUGCUGCCAGGGACCACGCACCUUUUGGGAUGCUUGGCACUGAAAUGCCCAUGAAGCCCUUACUGUUAAUCAAGAGAGGGAGAUUAGAGGAGAUCAGAACUACCAGCCUGAAGAGCGCUUUGCAUUUGACUACACCUUUCUAUCAGCAUAUGUUUUUCUUCUGAUAUUUCUGCAGGGAGUUCUCCAGGUAAAGGAAGAGCUGCUUCAACUCAGAGACACAACGACCAAACCACUUGGCAGUGGGCACAAAAAACGGAGACUGAACACUAAGAAACUGAAUGCACAAGGUUCAAUUUUUGGGAUCCUCUCACAGCCUGGCAAGACUCCUGCAUUUUCAAAUGCUCACAUAGCUGCACUUGCUGCUUCACUGAAAAUAAUAGUACUGUGCUAAACAGCAUCAUCGUGGGAUCACUUAUGGGAUUUAGUUGUGUUUAAGGGGUGAAGGCGAGGAUACUGCAAAGUGAAAUCCUCCAGUGCAAAGAAAAUAAGGUACACUUCCUAUAAACCCCUGAAAUAGCUGCAUUUCAUGUAAGUGGUUGAAAUGUUUGUGGGGAAAAAAAUGUACUAGAAGAUUUUUAUUUACUCCCUAGGUUAUAAUGACUUGGUAGGAUUUGUCAGGAUUGAUGGAUAAAGGGGCAGACUUUGUGGCUACUUAAUCUCCAGAGCUGAAAAUAUUUCUUCAUUUGAAUGAGGAAACUUGUUAUGCUGCUGGGUGGUUAUUCAUUGUAUGGAUUAUUGUUUAGAGCUCGAGUGUGGUCUUUUAUUUUUGAUAUUUAAAUGGAAAGAAAAAAUAAAUAGCGUGUCCUUUUC